rnacentral:rRNA from 1 species
CCUACGGGUGGCUGCAGUGAGGAAUAUUGGUCAAUGGGCUUACGCCUGAACCAGCCAAGUCGCGUGAGUUAAGACUUCCCUCUUGUUUUUCAACCUCUUUUGUCAGGGAGCAACGCCGGCUACGUGUAGCCGGACUGAGAGUACCUGAAGAAAAAGCAUCUGCGAACUCCGUGCCAGCAGCCGCGGUAGUAGGGAGGGUGCGUGCGUUAUCCGGUUUGAUUGGGUUUAAGGGGAGCGUAGGCGGAAUGCCAAGUCAGCGGGAAAAUCGCGGGGCUCAACCGCGCUCCGCCGUGGAAACUGGCGUUCUUGAGUGGGCGAGAGGUAUGCGGAAUGCGUGGUGUAGCGGUGAAAUGCAUAGAUAUCACGCAGAACUCCGAUGGCGAAGGCAGCAUACCGGCGCCCAACUGACGCUGAAGCACGAAAGCGUGGGUAUCGAACAGGAUUAGAUACCCCUGUAGUC